ACCUGGUGUUCAGGGCAUUUAAUGCACAAUUUCUUGAAUCGUUCCCAAUAGUCAUAAAGUGACUCCCCAGAGUGCUGUUUAAUACCGCAUAUCUCCUUUCGCAGACU